AAUCAGAGACGAAAUGUUGUCUCCGAUCUUUGACCACGGAUGUACUGGCACUGCUUGUUGAGGCAAUUGGAAGGUCGGGUUAGCCCGGCCUUUUUUUAU
rnacentral:sRNA from 2 species